rnacentral:rRNA from 1 species
GACGAACGCUGGCGGCGUGCUUAACACAUGCAAGUCGAACGGAAAGGCCCUGCUUUUGUUGGGUGCUCGCGUGGCGAACGGGUGCGUCACACGUGCGUCACCUGCCCUUUACUUUGGGCUAACUUCAGGAAACUGGGGCUAAUACCGGAUAGGUGCUCCUGCUGCAUGGUGGGGGUUGGAACGUUUCGGCGGUUGGGGAUUGACUCGCGUCUUCUCAGCCUGUUGGUGGGGUCGUGCCUUCCCAAGGCUUUCACGGUUAGCCGUCCUGCAGGGGUGACCGACCUCAUUGAUACUGAGAUACGGCCCAGACUCCUACGGGAGGCAGCAGUGAGGAAUAUUGCACAAUGGGCGGAAGCCUGAUGCAGCAACGCCGCGUGCGGAGUGACGACCGUCGGGUUGUAAACCGCUUUCGCCUGAGACAAAGCGUGAGUGACGGUAAUGAGUAAAGAAGGACCGGCUAACUACGUG